ensembl:lncRNA
GGCCAGCCCCUCCCCUUCGCAUUGUGAGGAAGGGGCAUCAGCGGGCAGGGCCAUCCCCGGGGACACUGUGGAGAGAGGACUUGGUUGCUCCCCCCACAUGCCUUCUCACCGCCCAGCAAGCCCCCCUACUGGCCAGUGGCAACAACACCCUGUCAGUCCUCGGCUGUUGUUACUCUGAGCCCCCCCGGAAGCCACCACGGUGACCUCUGGUGACACUGCUCCGCCCUACGCCCACUCUGAUCCCGUGACUCACCCCUCAGAUCCCUGGCCCUGGGGACGAGGGCACACAGUUCAUGCUGCCCAGCCUUUCCUGGGUGCCAUGUGCAGCCCAGGAGCAGCCAGCAGCCCUGGCUGCUCUGAACUCCCAUGACCCCAGUGACGUCCGGAAAAGCAUUAUUUACAACUUGCAAGACCUGGAAGCUACCUAUAUGUCCACUGGCAGAUGAAUGGUUAAAGAAGUCAUGGUGCCUAUAAACAAUGGAAUGUUAGCCAUAAAAAGGAACAAAUUCGAGUCAGCUGAUGGAGAUGGGCGAACCGAGAGCUUGUCAUAUGGAGUGAAGAUAUAAGCACCCAGAGACGCCCCAGAGAAAGCCCUGGGUUCGGAUAUGUUCCUCUCUGUCGUCACUGAAUAGCAGCACCGUCACUUCUCAGGAUAACCAGGGCCAACUACCCCCACCAGGAAAGUAACUCCUUUGUUUGCCGGUCCAUCAGAAUACAGAGCUCAACGUGACCAGAUGGGGUUCACAGGUUUAAGUUCAGAGGAACACUGUUCCUGGGGCAAGACUUCAUCCCCUGGAUAACAAUGUAAUGGGACCUAAACGUUCGGGGACCAGAAGAAAAAGUGCUUCCCUUGGGUUUCCGGGAGUGAUGAGAGCGGCUGUUCCCACCUCCCCACAGUGCCUCUAGCUACUUGGAUGUAGUAUAUAUGGGCCAUCGGUUCAGGGCGUACCCCGUACGCUGGGGGACAGAGCCUCAGCCCCGCAGGGUGACGUCCCCAGCCUGCGUCUUAGCUGAAGGGAAUCCUGAUCUCUCUGCCCGGCUGCUUCAGCAACAUGAUCUGCGUCAGAACAGAAGAGCCUGCAGUCACAGCCCGCUGUCACAGCUCUUCUGGCUCGGAGGUGAUGCUACGAAAGACCAACCAGACAUCAGGGUAUGGCUUUCCUUACAAACUGUCCCGUCGUUGGAUGCUGUUAAGGACUGAAGCACAGCUUGUUCAGCUGAAGACCCUGUUUCCUCUGGAAUAGCCUCCAGCAUGCGAGACCCCAGCAGAAGGAAUUGCUAAGUGCUUGGGGCUGACAACAGGGAGAAAAACGCCAGCCACCGCCAACAGCUGGGACGUCUCCUCUUUUAAAAGCUCCCAUCACUCCCACCUUGCUUCGUGGGGACAUCUGGUGCAGAUGCUAAAACUCAACUCAGAAAUGUUAUUCAUCAAAUCACCGGAAAACAAGCCUCCAGUCAGCGUUGGUCUACCCGAUUCCAAAGAAGAUAUGAUAUAUACAUAUAUCACACGUAUCACAUCAUCUUUGAGGAAUUAGUCCCUGGAAUGCUCAUGGACUCCAGAUAAAAACACAGCAGUUAUUUUAAACUGCUAAAGAAGGCAAAAUAUUGGAAACCACUUAGAUGUGGAAUUCAUAAAAUGACUAAGGAACUAUUACAUUCUCGAGUAGAGUGAAAUAAGGUUAAAACUACGCUAUAGAAAAUGUUUCUCCAACUCUGGGGAGGACCAGCUAACCUAAGAGAGCAAAGCCAUGGGCUACAGCUCCAUGUCACCAGCGAUCCAUGCAAUCCCAAGGCACCGGACCUCUGAGACCACUCCCAAAGCUGCCCAGGGGUCUGGGAGAGAGCAUGGAAGCUCACGUCUUUCCCCCCAUAUCUUUGUUGUUCAGUCGCUAAGUCGUGUCCAACUCUUUGUGACCCCAUGGUCUGCAGCACGCCAGGCUUCCCUGUCCUUCACCAUCUCCCAGAGUUUGCUCAAACUCAUGUCCAUUGACUCCAUGAUGCCAUCCAAGCAUCUCAUCCUCUGUGGUCCCCUUCUCCUCCUGCCUUCAAUCUUUCCCAAAAUCAGGGUCUUUUCCAAUGCGUUAGCUCAUCACAUAGUAUAG